CCCCGGCCCCAGACUCCUUCGGGGGGGCAGCCAGUAGGGAAUCUUUCCGCCAUGGCCGAAAAUUUUGACGGAGCAACCCCCGCGUGAGUGAUGAAGGUUUUCGGAUCGUAAAACUUCUGUUGUUAGGGAAGAACAAGUGCGAGAGUAACUGCUCGCACCUUGACGGUACCUAACCAGAAAGCCACGGCUAACUACGUGCCAGCAGCCGCGGUAAUACGUAGGUGGCAAGCGUUGUCCGGAAUUAUUGGGCGUAAAGGGCUCGCAGGCGGUUUCUUAAGUCUGAUGUGAAAGCCCCCGGCUCAACCGGGGAGGGUCAUUGGAAACUGGGAAACUUGAGUGCAGAAGAGGAGAGUGGAAUUCCACGUGUAGCGGUGAAAUGCGUAGAGAUGUGGAGGAACACCAGUGGCGAAGGCGACUCUCUGGUCUGUAACUGACGCUGAGGAGCGAAAGCGUGGGGAGCGAACAGGAUUAGAUACCCUGGUAGUCCACGCCGUAAACGAUGAGUGCUAAGUGUUAGGGGGUUUCCGCCCCUUAGUGCUGCAGCUAACGCAUUAAGCACUCCGCCUGGGGAGUACGGUCGCAAGACUGAAACUCAAAGGAAUUGACGGGGGCCCGCACAAGCGGUGGAGCAUGUGGUUUAAUUCGAAGCAACGCGAAGAACCUUACCAGGUCUUGACAUCCUCUGACAACCCUAGAGAUAGGGCUUUCCCUUCGGGGACAGAGUGACAGGUGGUGCAUGGUUGUCGUCAGCUCGUGUCGUGAGAUGUUGGGUUAAGUCCCGCAACGAGCGCAACCCUUGAUCUUAGUUGCCAGCAUUUAGUUGGGCACUCUAAGGUGACUGCCGGUGACAAACCGGAGGAAGGUGGGGAUGACGUCAAAUCAUCAUGCCCCUUAUGACCUGGGCUACACACGUGCUACAAUGGACAGAACAAAGGGCUGCAAGACCGCAAGGUUUAGCCAAUCCCAUAAAUCUGUUCUCAGUUCGGAUCGCAGUCUGCAACUCGACUGCGUGAAGCUGGAAUCGCUAGUAAUCGCGGAUCAGCAUGCCGCGGUGAAUACGUUCCCGGGCCUUGUACACACCGCCCGUCACACCACGAGAGUUUGCAACACCCGAAGUCGGUGAGGUAACCUUUAUGGAGCCAGCCGCCGAAGGUGGGGCAGAUGAUUGGGGGAAGUC
rnacentral:rRNA from 1 species